rnacentral:rRNA from 1 species
CUGGUUGAUCCUGCCAGACCCGACUGCUAUCGGAUUGGGACUAAGCCAUGCGAGUCAGCUCCGCAAGGGGUGGCGCACGGCUCAGUAACACGUAGUCAACCUACCCUGGGGACGGGGAUAACCUCGGGAAACUGAGGCUAAACCCCGAUGGGCCAUGGCUCCUGGAAUGGGCUAUGGCUGAAAUCUACAUGGCCCCAGGAUGGGACUGCGGCCGAUCAGGUUGUUGGUGGGGUAAUGGCCCACCAAGCCUAUAACCGGUGCGGGCUCUGAGAGGAGGAGCCCGGAGAUGGGCACUGAGACAAGGGCCCAGGUCCUAUGGGGCGCAGCAGGCGCGAAACCUCCGCAAUGGGCGAAAGCCCGACGGGGUCAGUCCGAGUGGUUCCCGCUGAGGGAACCUUUUGCCAGCUGUAAACAGGCUGGCGAAUAAGGGGUGGGCAAGUUUGGUGUCAGCCGCCGCGGUAAUACCAGCACCCCGAGUGGUCGGGACGAUUAUUGGGCCUAAAGCAUCCGUAGCCGGCCCAGUAAGUCCUCCGUUAAAUCCAACGGCUCAACCGUUGGGCUGCGGGGGAUACUGCUGGGCUAGGGGACGGGAGAGGCGAGGGGUAUUCCCGGGGUAGGGGUAAAAUCCACUGAUCCCGGGAGGACCACCAGUGGCGAAGGCGCCUCGCUAGAACGUGCCCGACGGUGAGGGAUGAAAGCUGGGGGAGCGAACCGGAUUAGAUACCCGGGUAGUCCCAGCCGUAAACGAUGUAGGCUCGGUGUUGGGCUGCCUCAGUGGCAGCCCAGUGCCGCAGGGAAGCCGUUAAGCCUACCGCCUGGGGAGUACGGCCGCAAGGCUGAAACUUAAAGGAAUUGGCGGGGGAGCACCAC